CUUUUGCUUCUCCAAGUGUAUCUGGACCCACACGAUGUGUGUGGUUUAUUGCAGAGAUGCACUGCUGGUGGCUGCAUCUGUAGAGCUCAGAACAACUGGAUCUUGUUCACACCCAGCCAGAGAGGAUUCCUGGCUCACCAAGGCAGAAUGGACUUUAAGGGAGAAACAGCCUUGGACCACGUGGUGUUCUGGUUUGGCUGUGCUGACCAGCAGGUGAAGACACGCCGAUCUCCCUUCUCCCUCUGGGAUCUGGCAGUUAAAGUUGCAGGUAUUGUCCCUUGGAUCCAUCAUACGAGGGUGAAGACAGCCUACCACACAGACCCAGAAAACACUGAGUGGACUGCACAGAGGGACCCCUCUGACCCUCGAGAGACUAAGACCAUCCUUAAGAAGGAAAAGAAGAUCCUGGACAAGCCCCUUCAGGAUGAAGCCGCACAAUCAACUCCUGCUGCUUGGCCUCAUCAAUGUGAUUUUGAAUUAACUUUCGUUUCAACUCAGGACAAUGUUUUCAUCUCAUGGGCACAUUCCUACGUGGACUUCCACAACACCUCCAACUGCUGGGUAUGUGGAGCUAUUCCUCUGUCUGUGAUGGAUGGACUUCUUUGGCGGGUGUCACCGCUCUGCCAAGGAGAUUUUAAACCACUCUGCUCUUUUCUGGGACCACAGAAAGAGACGUUCCUCUCUCUUUUCAAUCAUAACUUCUCUUUGUUCUCUUGGUGUAAGACCUACAGUCAAUAGACUUGGGUCAUGGGGUUACAUUUGAUAUAAAUGCCAGUGUAACAAAAGCCUAACCUACAAUAAGCCCCAGUGAAUCUACUUUAUUUACAUGCUAGGUGGACAAGAUCUGUGUUUCAAUGGUAUGAGUAUAUUGCUGCCUUAUUCGUACCCUUAUAGGGACAACGGAUAUUAUGAUUAAAGUAGAGGCCUUGACAAAUUUCACAAAACAGGCCCUCCUAGAUAGAACAAAAGCCAUCCAAGCCUUAAAUGAAGAGCAAAUCCAAAUGAGAAAAGCAGUAAUUCAUAAUAGAAUGGCUUUGGACAUACUCACAGCUGCUCAAGGAGGGACCUGUGCUAGAAUUAAGGUUGAAUGUUGUGUAUACAUUCCUGACUUAUCUGGCAAUGUAUCAACUGCUUUAGAUGAUAUGAAAAACCAGGUAAAAGCAAUGUCAAAUGAAAACAUUCCUUUCUGGACUUUGGUCCUAUCUUGGGUGAAGGGCGAUUGGUAGAAAACUAUAUAUACCACUGUUAUAGUUGCCUUGAUAGUUCUACUUUGUGGACCCUGAAUUUUACAAUGUAUUAUGAACUUUGUAACCCAAAGGUUGAUGUCAUUCUCCCAAAUUGGCGGUCGGAGAGCCAGGGUGCAAUAUAUCGCUAUGAAUGAUGCUCAUAAUAUGAGUUAAGAGCAUCAAGAGGGGAGAAUGAAGGAGGAAACAGAGAGAGCCAAACUCCAUCUUAGGCCAGGCUGCAAGCAUUAGGCUACACACUUGGUCACCCUCCUAAUGGACUCUGAACUUUGUGCCCGGUGUCUAUAGAAGUGGCAUACCAAUGGGAAACCAGACCCCCGGAUAAAAGAGCCUCAGGACUUGUACUUGGACUCUCUGUUGCCUAAAAGAAUAUGGAAAUUAUCUCUGUAACAGAACAAAGUCGUAAAUUCCAUUAUGUUUAUCGGGAUAUGACCACAGGCCUAUUGAUAAAUGUCCACUGUUUAUCUAGUCUUGUGACUCAUGAAUCAUGGGUUGACUUUGAUCGUAUCUCUCUUUUACCUUGUCCAGACUAGUUUCAAGGAAUUUGGAGAGAGGUGGGUUUGAGCAAGUACACUUAGGGUCUAUAAGGUUUUCAUAAAAACUGAUCGCGGUCCUUGGCUAAGAGGAGACUCUGCCUUGGGCCCACCAGUGUAAUAAACUGCACUCCACUAUC